rnacentral:lncRNA from 1 species
UUCACCAUACACUAGGCCUAGGCUCUGAUACCACUUGAAGGAUAAAUUUUGUCCUAGCUAAGAACAAGUAUGAACAUUUGAAUACACAUGCAAGCUAUCAACACUUUAAAGUAGGCAUGCAUUCAAAAACAAUUCAUAAAACCCAUGACUUUCAAAGCCUAGUAUAUGGUGAACCAAAAUAAACUCUUUAACUACAUUAAAGAGAAGUAAAGAUUUAGUGAUUCUUUACCCUUGAAGCUCAUCCUUGAUUACACAAGGGAUUCACCCAAGUGGAGGGCCUUCAAGUCACCUCCAAGCUUCUUGAAUCCUCCUUGUGUUUUCCUCCCUUUAGUGCUCCUUUGAUGAUUUGAGGAAAAAGGAUUUGUUCUCCAAA